rnacentral:rRNA from 1 species
UGAGUAAACGCGUGGGAAUCUACCUUUUGCUACGGAACAACAGUUGGAAACGACUGCUAAUACCGUAUGUGCCCUUCGGGGGAAAGAUUUAUCGGCAAAGGAUGAGCCCGCGUUGGAUUAGCUAGUUGGUGAGGUAAAGGCUCACCAAGGCGACGAUCCAUAGCUGGUCUGAGAGGAUGAUCAGCCACACUGGGACUGAGACACGGCCCAGACUCCUACGGGAGGCAGCAGUGGGGAAUAUUGGACAAUGGGCGCAAGCCUGAUCCAGCCAUGCCGCGUGAGUGAUGAAGGCCCUAGGGUUGUAAAGCUCUUUCACCGGUGAAGAUAAUGACGGUAACCGGAGAAGAAGCCCCGGCUAACUUCGUGCCAGCAGCCGCGGUAAUACGAAGGGGGCUAGCGUUGUUCGGAUUUACUGGGCGUAAAGCGCACGUAGGCGGAUUUUUAAGUCAGGGGUGAAAUCCCGGGGCUCAACCCCGGAACUGCCUUUGAUACUGGAAGUCUUGAGUAUGGUAGAGGUGAGUGGAAUUCCGAGUGUAGAGGUGAAAUUCGUAGAUAUUCGGAGGAUCUCCUUAUUGGCGAAGGCGGCUCACUGGACCAUUACUGACGCUGAGGUGCGAAAGCGCUGGGGAGCACAACACUGCGUCUAUUAUGUGGGUCAGGCCCUGGUAGUCCACGCCGUAAACAAGUGCAUAUUAGCACACGUUUCGAAGGGGAUUCUCUUCGGUGACUCGACCUUCCCCUAAACCACCGCCCGCGAGCCUGUCCAAGUGA